CCUACGGGUGGCAGCAGUGGGGAAUAUUGCACAAUGGGCGAAAGCCUGAUGCCGCAACGCCGCGUGAAGGAAGAAGGUUUUCGGAUUGUAAACUUCUGUUCUCAGUGAAGAAUGAUGACGGUAACUAAGGAGCAAGCGACGGCUAACUACGUGCCAGCACCCGCGGUAAUACGUAGGUGGCAAGCGUUGUCCGGAAUUACUGGGUGUAAAGGGAGCGUAGACGGGGAGCCAAGUCAGAUGUGAAAGCUACGGGCUUAACCUGUGGACUGCAUUUGAAACUGUCUUGCUUGAGUGAAGGAGAGGUUGGCGGAAUUCCGAGUGUAGCGGUGAAAUGCGUAGAUAUUAGGAGGAACACCGGUGGCGAAGGCGGCCAACUGGGCUUUAACUGACGCUGAGGCUCGAAAGUGUGGGGAGCAAACAGGAUUAGAUACCCCGGUAGUC
rnacentral:rRNA from 1 species